rnacentral:rRNA from 1 species
AGCGGCGGACGGGUGAGUAACGCGUGGGUAACCUGCCCUAUACACAUGGAUAACAUGCUGAAAAGUUUACUAAUACAUGAUAAUAUAUGUUUGCGGCAUCGCAGAUAUAUCAAAGUGUUAGCGGUAUAGGAUGGACCCGCGUCUGAUUAGCUAGUUGGUGAGAUAACUGCCCACCAAGGCGACGAUCAGUAGCCGACCUGAGAGGGUGAUCGGCCACAUUGGAACUGAGACACGGUCCAAACUCCUACGGGAGGCAGCAGUGGGGAAUAUUGCACAAUGGGCGAAAGCCUGAUGCAGCAACGCCGCGUGAACGAUGAAGGUCUUCGGAUCGUAAAGUUCUGUUGCAGGGGAAGAUAAUGACGGUACCCUGUGAGGAAGCCCCGGCUAACUACGUGCCAGCAGCCGCGGUAAUACGUAGGGGGCUAGCGUUAUCCGGAUUUACUGGGCGUAAAGGGUGCGUANGUGGUCCUUCAAGUCGGUGGUUAAAGGCUACGGCUCAACCGUAGUAAGCCGCCGAAACUGGAGGACUUGAGUGCAGGAGAGGAAAGUGGAAUUCCCAGUGUAGCGGUGAAAUGCGUAGAUCUUGGGAGGAAC